rnacentral:lncRNA from 1 species
CUUGCCUCAGUUGGAAUUAGUCCAGGGCAUUGGACCAGUGUUGAGUUCAUAGGUGAGCACCAGGUAGCUCAAACUGUGGGGCUCAGGUGGAAGCACUGGCAAACUUGAUGCCUGUGCCUGAAAUCCAUUCUCUCUGAAUGCCUUUCUGAUUUCCUACGGGGAGAGUUAAUAAGAAUGCCUUUCCUUUACUUAUUAAAAAGAUGAGGUACAAAUUAUAUGUGACUUAGACACUUUUCAUCAAAGACCACAAAGAAGAAGAAUUCAUUCUGGCCCUACCCUUUUGAGCUCAAGGUGUUAUUUCCAACUCUUCAAGGUCUAAAGGACACUUUAUAUUGCUUCAACAGAAAAAUCAGCCCACACUUUAGGUAAGCCUCU